AGACCAUGAUGAAGACAACACCGAAGCAAUUCUUUGUAUCUUUCCCAGGCUUCAUACAACAAUUCUGAAUCGUGUUGCAUGAAUGAUGUGAUGUCAUUCCAUAAUUUU
rnacentral:snoRNA from 1 species